UCCGAGUUGACCCCGGCAGUCUCCUACGAGUCCCCGGCAUAACCCGCUGGCAACAUAGGACAAGGGUUGCGCUCGUUGCGGGACUUAACCCAACAUCUCACGACACGAGCUGACGACAACCAUGCACCACCUGUGAACCGGCCCCAAAGGGGAAACCACAUUUCUGCGGCGAUCCGGCCCAUGUCAAGCCUUGGUAAGGUUCUUCGCGUUGCAUCGAAUUAAAGAACAUGCUCCGCUGCUUGUGCGGGCCCCCGUCAAUUUCUUUGAGUUUUAACCUUGCGGCCGUACUCCCCAGGCGGAUAACUUAAUGCGUUAGCUGCGCCACCAAAAGCCUAAGGCCCCUGACAGCUAGUUAUCAUCGUUUACGGCGUGGACUAC
rnacentral:misc_RNA from 1 species